GGAAUCUUUCAGUUCAACCAUCUAAGUAACCUGAACCAGAGAAAAAACAAGACUACCAUGUCCAGCCAGCAGAAUGCUAUAAUAUGCUAUGAUGACUGGAAUCCUUGUUAACCAAUUCCAGCAACCUCCCGGGCCAGAAACAAAUACCCAAAUGCAGCAUUUGAGAGAUUGCUACUUGUCUGUCGCCUCCUCGAGAACAGCACGUAACUGCAAUGCAGCCUGUACAGGAGGACAGAGGGAAGGAAAAGCCAGAGCCAGGUCUUGAGCUGAGGAGGGCAGAGUCUUGUGGAGGGCCCUCAGGACUGGGUGAUGCUGUGAGGGAGCAUGAACCCCGUGUCCCUGAGGGUCCUGAGCGCUACUCGGCCAUUGGGUCGGAUCACCAGGUGGGUGAUGCUGCCGUUGUUGAGGGAGCAGUGGAGCCAGCCUUCGGGAGGAAACUGCAGCGCUGUGCCCUGUCAGCUGCAGCGAAUGACACUGGCGUGACAUCGGAAGAUCUCCUAAUUAUCCUCCCCCUGCUUGGCAUCCCCCGAGGGAUGUAGUUUCGGAGCGCUCCCUCGAUCCGGACUCCAUCUUCAUAGCAUGCCCAGCGGCCGCUUCCAGUGAUACGCUGCCAGGCUGGCUUGACAAGGAGGGUUCCCGCCCCAGGUCUGUGCGGCCUUUGAAGACGCUUGGCGGGUGCCUGUUGCUGAAGCCAGUGGUUUCUAUGGGGUGGGUCAUGGAGGAAUGGACGAUUUUAUUAAACCUCAACCCCAAGCUUGCAAGUCGGAGUCCAGUUAGUUCGACCUGUUCACGACCCGGUGGGUUCAGACUGCAGUCCUCUUCCAGGGAGCCGUCCACAUGGUAUUGGGAACGCAUGACGAGGAGGGUGUGCCCUGUGGCCUUGGCUCUGCAGUGGUCCAGCCUGGAAGCCAGCUCUUCUCCAGAUUCCACGUUCCUCUUCCUUAGGUUGUUCAGAGACAGUGGUUCUUGCCUGUCCCGGUCGGGGUCCCAGACGCUGAGGCUCGGCCGCAUGCCCCACGCCUAGGCCCGCGGCUCGGCUGCGCGCGGCUUCCCCGCUGUGUCAGCGAAGCAGAACCCCGGGACCAAGCCCCUGGCCAGCCCCCAGACUGCCAACCUCAGCACCUGCUGGAUCCCGGGGCCGCCCGCUCCCGCUCAGUUCCCAGGCGCUCAAUGCCUGGCAGGCGCGCCGCCUCUGGAUAUGCUUUUAAAUAACAGAGUUGGGCCGGGCGCAGUUGCUCAAGCCUACCUGUAAUUCCAGACAUACAGGAGCUCCACACCAGCCUGGGCAGCAUAGCGAGACUACAAAAAUGAAGAUAAAAUAAAUUGGACUGUGGUGGCACGUCCGUGUCAUCCCAGCUACUAAGGAGGCUCAGGCGGGAGAAUGGCUUGAGCCUGGGAGUCCAAGGCUGUAGUGAUCUAUGAUGGCGCCUCUGCACUCCAGCCUGGGUGACAGAGCAAGACUCUAUCUCAAUAAAUAAGACUCCUUGGAGAAGUUCACAUGACAUUCUGUUUGACGUAAAAUCAGCAUGUGUCCCAAGUAAAUCAACAACAGCUGUUUUAAAUAGCAGAUUGUAUUUCAAAAUAUCAUUAUGAACCAGGGGAAGAAUUGCAUGGAUGCCUGUGUCUCCAGAUUACAGUGAUGGAACCUAGCAUCUGGACAUUGUGGCCAUGGGCAGACAGAUCUCAGAGUUGGCUGGAAGAUGGUUAUCUAUUUAAUGAAACAGUGAUCUUUAGGGGGAAAUUUUUUUCAUGAUUCAUGGGUUAAAAAUGCCAGCAAAAAAGAAUGAAAGGAAAAAAGGCUUGGUUACAUUCAGAGGAGUCAUGCUUCUGUUGGCUGAAGCUUCUACUCAGAAUCCUGUGCAUUUCUCUAAAUGGGGUAGCAAAGCAGUUUAAUACUAGUUUGUUCACUUCAAAAGUACUCAUACCAAUAAACUAAGUAAGAUUCAGUACCCAUCCCUACAAGAGUUCUUAGAUGACAUGAUGGACUAACUGUAUUACACUGUGUCACUAAGAAAGUGUAGAUUCUGUGACCUACAGGUUGUUCCAGGCACAGGAUGGACCUGGCUGCACUUUUCAGUCUCUCUUA